rnacentral:rRNA from 1 species
GUGGGGAAUCUUCCGCAAUGGACGAAAGUCUGACGGAGCGACGCCGCGUGAGUGAAGAAGGCCUUCGGGUCGUAAAGCUCUGUCAUCAGGGACGAACGGCCGGUGGAGUGGAAAGCCACCGGAUUGACGGUACCUGAGAAGGAAGCCACGGCUAACUACGUGCCAGCAGCCGCGGUAAUACGUAGGUGGCAAGCGUUGUCCGGAAUUAUUGGGCGUAAAGCGCGCGCAGGUGGGAUCUUAAGUCCAUUUUGAAAGUUCGGAGCUCAACUCCGUGAUGGGAUGGAAACUGGGAUUCUUGAGUACCGGAGAGGAAAGCAGAAUUCCCCGUGUAGCGGUGAAAUGCGUAGAUAUGGGGAGGAACACCAGUGGCGAAGGCGGCUUUCUGGACGGUGUCUGACACUGAGGCGCGAAAGCUAGGGGAGCGAACGGGAUUAGAUACCCUGGUAGUCC